CAUGGAGAAAGCUGACUUGGCUGGUGUGGUACAGAGAAGCCAGCUUGUUUACAUGCUUAUUCCAUG
rfam:Otolemur garnettii contig151329, whole genome shotgun sequence.